AUUGAACGCUGGCGGCAGGCCUAACACAUGCAAGUCGAGCGGAUGAAGGGAGCUUGCUCCUGGAUUCAGCGGCGGACGGGUGAGUAAUGCCUAGGAAUCUGCCUGGUAGUGGGGGAUAACGUCCGGAAACGGGCGCUAAUACCGCAUACGUCCUGAGGGAGAAAGUGGGGGAUCUUCGGACCUCACGCUAUCAGAUGAGCCUAGGUCGGAUUAGCUAGUUGGUGGGGUAAAGGCCUACCAAGGCGACGAUCCGUAACUGGUCUGAGAGGAUGAUCAGUCACACUGGAACUGAGACACGGUCCAGACUCCUACGGGAGACAGCAGUGGGGAAUAUUGGACAACGGGCGAAAGCCUGAUCCAGCCAUGCCGCGUGUGUGAAGAAGGUCUUCGGAUUGUAAAGCACUUUAAGUUGGGAGGAAGGGCAGUAAGUUAAUACCUUGCUGUUUUGACGUUACCAACAGAAUAAGCACCGGCUAACUUCGUG
rnacentral:rRNA from 1 species